rnacentral:lncRNA from 1 species
AUAUAAAGAAGAAGACAAUUAGCACGUGGGGAGUCCACAAGACAUUUUGAUAUGAAAUGUGGGUCCUUCUUCUUGACAAGGUGGGAAUAUGCUGCUCUAGCAAGAUUGCAGUGAUGAAUCCCAGGGAUGCACACCUACCUACCGAGAGACCUCCAAACAGAGACAUCAACACAGAAACCUCCGCAGAGAUAACCGGAUCUCCAUAUUGCAAACCCAUGCAAAAAGUAACCUAGAGAAACAGACGCCCAGAUGAAGAAGGCUGUGAGUACAAGCUUUGCAGAUGGAGCUACCGCCUGGUAGGACUCAGUGUGCUUCAAUGGCUGAUGCCCACUCCUCAAAAAACAAAACCAAACCCCAAACAACAAGUGGUGUAGAGAGAAACAAGAAUUACCAAAAGGGAAAAUAAUUACUAGAAUUAUUUUGUGAUUGUCCAACUACCUGCACCAGUGUCUGAUCGAUAACCCAUACUCAGUAGAUAGUGAAUGAUAUAUGUGACAUAAUCUGAUGACCAGACUGUAGCUUGAGUUUAGAAUAGUAAUUCUGUCUGCCUUUUUCUGCUUUGUUUUUCACUCCUGUCCCUUUGAUCUUUGUAUAUUCCUGUCCUUCGGACACCCACUUCCAUCAAAGUGUCACAGAAAAAUUCUGUGAAACCUGACUGCAGGGUCAAAGUGAUGUCAAAGGGAGGUUUGGGGAGAGGCACGUGAUAAAAACAGCCCAGCUGAGGUUUCCAUCUGUUUCCCAUGCCGUAGCACUAUGCCUUAGGUGGUGUUUCUCGAAGUGUUUCCCCAGC